UACGGAGGGUGCGAGCGUUGUCCGGAAUCACUGGGCGUAAAGGGCGCGUAGGCGGCAUGCCAAGCGUGUGGUGAAAGCCCGGGGCUCAACCCCGGGUCGGCCGUGCGGACUGGCGUGCUCGAGCACUGUAGGGGCGGGUGGAAUUCCGGGUGUAGCGGUGGAAUGCGUAGAGAUCCGGAAGAACACCGGUGGCGAAGGCGACAUCCUGGACCGGUAUUGACGCUGAGGCGCGAAAGCCAGGGGAGCAAACGGG
rnacentral:rRNA from 1 species